AUUGAACGCUGGCGGCAGGCUUAACACAUGCAAGUCGAGCGGGGGAAGGUAGCUUGCUACUGGACCUAGCGGCGGACGGGUGAGUAAUGCUUAGGAAUCUGCCUAUUAGUGGGGGACAACAUCUCGAAAGGGAUGCUAAUACCGCAUACGUCCUACGGGAGAAAGCAGGGGAUCUUCGGACCUUGCGCUAAUAGAUGAGCCUAAGUCGGAUUAGCUAGUUGGUGGGGUAAAGGCCUACCAAGGCGACGAUCUGUAGCGGGUCUGAGAGGAUGAUCCGCCACACUGGGACUGGAACACGGCCCAGACUCCUUCGGGAGGCAGCAGUGGGGAAUAUUGGACAAUGGGGGGAACCCUGAUCCAGCCAUGCCGCGUGUGUGAAGAAGGCCUUAUGGUUGUAAAGCACUUUAAGCGAGGAGGAGGCUACUUUAGUUAAUACCUAGAGAUAGUGGACGUUACUCGCAGAAUAAGCACCGGCUAACUCUGUGCCAGCCGCCGCGGUAA
rnacentral:rRNA from 1 species